GCCGGAUGGCGGAGAGCAGUGUGAAUGUGCCUCGGGGGCUCAGCCUGUCCCACGGUGAAGCUGUCGGCCUGAGAAACGGUCACACAGGCAUGGAUGAGGUGCCCCAGACUGCAGUUCAGGGGACCCUCCCCUCCCCCUUCCACCUGAAUAAGCCCCAGCGACUCCAAUAGGUCCCCAGAGAUAUAGACGGCUCUCCCUCCUGAUAACCAAUACUGGUGGUUUCUGUACCUGAGGCCGGGGGGGCGGGGAGGGGGGGCUCCAAAUCAGACCGAAUUGAUUUAGAAAAGUAAGCAAGGCAGGUCUCUCGAGGCCCAGAGCUGUGAAGCACGUUCACACCCAGGGUGCUGGCGCCCAUGCCUGGCUCUCCCCUAAACUGUGAGCUCACUGCGGUCCCUGGCAGCUCCGUUCACUGCCGUGUCUCCAGAAUCUAACUCGUGCCUGGCACAGAGAAGGUCAUCUGUUGUGGUUUAAAAAGGAAAGCCUGGAUCAGGGGCUGGGGUGAAGGGCAGGAUUCUGAAAAUGUCACAGGAAGCAGCUAGGAGUCCUUGACCUUCACUCCUUUGACUUUGCCCAUCCGGCUGGCGGGGAGUGAGCAGGUGACAGACACUAUCUCUAGUGUUAAAACGAAUUUCCCUGAAGUCCCUUUCUGCGUGUAGAAGAGCCUACGGAGGUUACCAAACAAACUGGAUUCUGACUGCUGCUCUGAUGAAUCUGGAGUUAAAAGGAGGAAAGAGAAAAUCUUGCUGUGCCUGGCAACGUGUUAUGGACUUCACUGAAAGGAAGCUGAUAAAAAUCAGCUGCAAACACUGCAGGGAGCAAGAUCAUUCUACAGCACCCUGUUGACAAGGGCCUUUACUGCACAGGCGUCUGAUGAAAACAAGCGAACGCAGCAGCCAGUGCGUGUGGGGGAAGGAGUUACAGAAGUGGCCUGGGUGACCGUGGGGAAAACCAACUGGUUCUCUGGGGUUGUUCACCGGGGACCUGGCAGCCUUCUGGGAGAAGGAGGGAGAUGGAAAAGGAAAGCCAGAUUCCGGACCCAGAGAAACGGACAGAAGUGGCACUGUUUGGGGAAGACAGAGGCAGGUCUGGGAAUCUCCGGGAUUGCUAAGGCCUUGACCCAUGUGGCAUCUAAAGACACAGAGCUUAUCUUCUGACGGCUCAGUGGGUCUAGGAAAACAGACAUACACCGAUCCCAUGCUGAGAUGAAACCAGAGCCUGAAGCCAGGAGACCACCAAAGCCAGGGGUAAUGACCUGGAGAGGCCACUUGAACCACACCUGGCACAGCCCUGGGCCACUCCCGCCCAGGGGAACCCAGUCUGCUCCCGUCCAUAUGCUUCCAGUGUGGUACAGAGAGGAUGUCCAUCCACAUUUGUUUCCGUGUUCCCUUUUCAUCUUGGGACUAAUCAUCCCAUUCUGAUAACCUGCUCUGUCUUUCUGUUCUGAUUUUCUCUCCCACCUAAAAUCCUUCCUAUCAAGCAGUUAAAAGAAAAAAAAAAAUUGACAUCAGUUUGUAAAGCAUUUGGCCACAAGUUUUUCUCACAGAUUUUUCAAUACAUUGAAAAGGCUACCCUUUAAAGCGAUUAAAGAAAAAGAUAAA